rnacentral:rRNA from 1 species
UGCAGUCGAGCGGUAGCACAGAGAGCUUGUCUCUCGGGUGACGAGUGGCGGACGGGUGAGUAAUGUCUGGGAAACUGCCUGAUGGAGGGGGAUAACUACUGGAAACGGUAGCUAAUACCGCAUAACGUCGCAAGACCAAAGAGGGGGACCUUCGGGCCUCUUGCCAUCAGAUGUGCCCAGAUGGGAUUAGCUAGUAGGUGGGGUAACGGCUCACCUAGGCGACGAUCCCUAGCUGGUCUGAGAGGAUGACCAGCCACACUGGAACUGAGACACGGUCCAGACUCCUACGGGAGGCAGCAGUGGGGAAUAUUGCACAAUGGGCGCAAGCCUGAUGCAGCCAUGCCGCGUGUAUGAAGAAGGCCUUCGGGUUGUAAAGUACUUUCAGCGGGGAGGAAGGUGUUGUGGUUAAUAACCGCAGCAAUUGACGUUACCCGCAGAAGAAGCACCGGCUAACUCCGUGCCAGCAGCCGCGGUAAUACGGAGGGUGCAAGCGUUAAUCGGAAUUACUGGGCGUAUAGCGCACGCAGGCGGUCUGUCAAGUCGGAUGUGAAAUCCCCGGGCUCAACCUGGUAACUGCAUUCGAAACUGGCAGGCUAGAGUCUUGUAGAGGGGGGGUAGUAAUUCCAGGUGUAGCGGUGAAAUGCGUAUAGAUCUGGGAGGAAUACCGGUGGACGAAGGCGGCCCCCUGGACUAAUGACUGACGCUCAGG